rfam:Ralstonia eutropha H16 chromosome 1
UCCAUCUUGCGCGACUGGCGAAGUCAGUGGGCACUACCACGAGGAAGCGCAAGUUCUCUGGCGUGACGUUCAUUGCGCGUUCGCGUAGCGUUCAGCACGCCUAGGCGUGAAGUUGCUUGCGCCUGCCGCUCGCCUGGGCAGCGAAU